GCAAGUAGAACGCACAGGAUGCACCGUAGUUUACUACACCGUAUUCUGUGAGUUGCGAACGGGUGAGUAACGCGUAGGUAACCUGCCGUAUGGUUGGGGAUAGCUCCUGGAAACGGGUGGUAAUACCCAAUGUUCCAGCUGGAUGCAUGUCUGGUUGGGAAAGCUUUUUGUGCCAUAUGAUGGGGUCGCGUCCUAUCAGCUUGUUGGUGGGGUGAUGGCCUACCAAGGCGUCGACGGGUAGCCGGCCUAAGAGGGCGACCGGCCACAUUGGGACUGAGAUACGGCCCAGACUCCUACGGGAGGCAGCAGUGGGGAAUAUUGCACAAUGGGCGCAAGCCUGAUGCAGCGACGCCGCGUGCGGGAUGGAGGCCUUCGGGUUGUAAACCGCUUUUAUAGGGGGGCAAGCUAUGCCUGUGUGGUGUGGUGAGUGGACUUUAUGAAUAAGCACCGGCUAACUACGUGCCAGCAGCCGCGGUAAUACGUAGGGUGCAAGCGUUGUCCGGAAUUAUUGGGCGUAAAGGGUACGUAGGCGGUUUUUUAAGUCAGGUGUGAAAGCGUGAGGCUUAACCUCAUUAAGCACUUGAAACUGGAAGACUUGAGUGAAGGAGAGGAAAGUGGAAUUCCUAGUGUAGCGGUGAAAUGCGUAGAUAUUAGGAGGAAUACCGGUGGCGAAGGCGACUUUCUGGACUUUUACUGACGCUCAGGUACGAAAGCGUGGGGAGCAAACAGGAUUAGAUACCCUGGUAGUCCACGCCGUAAACGAUGAAUGCUAGGUGUUGGGAGUCAAAUCUCGGUGCCGAAGUAACACAUUAAGCAUUCCGCCUGGGGAGUACGGUGGCAACACUGAAACUCAAAGGAAUUGACGGC
rnacentral:rRNA from 1 species